UCCUCACAGCCACCCAACCUUCGAAGAAAAGGGAGAAGCUCUAACUCACGGCGCGACACGAAGGGCAGCAGGUCUCGACCCAGACGGCGCGAGACGAACGGCAGCAGGUCUCGACCCAGACGGCGCGACACGAACGGCAGUAGGUCUCGACCCAGACGGCACGACACGAACGGCAGCAGGUCUCGUUCGCGUACGAGAGCAGGUCUCUGUCGGCGACGGCGCGGUGCUCUCCUCCACAGGCGUCGGCGAGUUGCUCUCCUCCACAGGCGUCGGCGAGUUGCUCUCCUCCUCCUGUCUCAGCUCUGCGUCGCAGUCACGUUCGAGAAACCCCUCUCCUUCUUCCUCCUCUUCCCCUGUCUCGCCUCCUCCUCUUCGCAAGCUCAGACAACACUGCAUGCAGCGAUAAUCCCCUUCCGCCUCCUCUGCGUAUUGCUUGUAAACCCCCAGUUGAAGAGCUGCACCAGUUCUUGGAAUUCCAGUUGCCAAAGCUAUAUGUGAACCCAUCAGGUAAACAUUUUCCUUCUUGGCCCUGGACAUCUUGCUAUUUCUUGGCUGUGCCUCUGAUCCUAAGAAAUCCACAUUCAUGAGGUUCAUUUUCUUACCUUCAUGUUGUUUGGUUCCUGAGAAAGUGCUUGAAAAACAACAUUUAUCAAUUUAUAUAUAUUUAUAUAUGCUCUGUUUGCUUCAUUCAUCUAUGCUAUCUUCAUCCUUUAUUAUUGUUAGGAAUUCCGUUGAGCUUCAACUUGUGUUUUUUCCCCCUCCUCCCACCUUAUAUAAUCAGGGAAAAAAUCUAAAUCAAUGUUGUUUCGAAGUAGAAUUUCUUACCUAAAUGUUUAUCAGCAUGUUUCUAUUUUCUUCACACUUGAGUGCUAUCAUGUUUUAAAGUUUUGCUUUGGUCCUGUGUUUCCAACGCAAUUUCAAAUCCCGGUGCUGAGUGAAUUGCUAUAUGAAUUGCAAAGCACAAAUUCAAAUACUAAGGAGAAGACUUUUUGUUGGUAAAAUUGAAAAUAGAUGCCAUGAAUGUGUUUUUUUCUUUUUUAAGUGAAAAUACAUAUAGGUUUUACAUAUUUAUCACCAGAAAUAUUUUAACUAUUUUGAAAACUUAUGUUUGGAGGUGUUAUUUA